AUCAAAUUCCAUUACGGAAUAAUGCUAUAGCGCCGCUAUAACGGCUAUCGACAAUAAUUUGUACAAAAUAGCAUAUUGCGGAACAUUAGCGAUUUGUUCAUAUUCCGCUACGCUAUAGCAACACAGAUAUCAGGUCAAUCAACCAAUCAAUACUGAAAAAUAUGGCAAGCAAGUACAAAAUGCUCACAAAUAAUUAGGAAGUUCCAGAAAAUUUUAAAUUAAACCAAAAGAGAGUUUUGUCUUCAGCAAACUCUAUAGAAACCACCUCCAAAUUCAAAUGUGGAGGCACUCAUCGGCAUGCAGCAAAGUAUCUAGCCACAAACUUUUCCGCAGUUUAAAUAGUCAUCAUAUUCAUACCUAUGUAUUACUAACAAACAAAGGUUCCAUUUCCCUUUACUAUCUCCAGCAUAAAUAGGAACACAUCAAAAUCUAGCCAGAAGCUCCCUCUUGUAAUCUCUUCAAUCACAUUGCUUUCGGAUUGUAGCGCAGAUGCUGCUCAUAGUAAUCAAUCAACUGAAAUUUAAGGGAAAAAAACAUCAGCUUCAUGUAAAAAAAGAAAAAGAGCACAGAAACAUCUUGAUAUAAGCCUAUGAAGCCAUGCAAAGUUAGAGAUGGAGACUUACUAGGAUCGGAUGAUAUGUUUUGAGAUGAUUGUUAUCGACCACAACUUCAGAUCCAUCAGACCUAUAAAGUUUAAACCAGAUUUAUGUCAAGAAGCAUCUUGUAAGAUGAUCAAAUAAUACAACUCAUUUCGUGAAAGAGGUGCAAUCAAUACAAGUUUAGGUACAGAAGUGUGUAAUAAAAAUGAAAUCUUACGCUUCCAUAGAAUUGAGUAAAUUACUUGUAUAACAAGUAAAUAACGUUGCAAUGUGAAUUGAUUGGUUUCAUAUAUUAAC
rnacentral:lncRNA from 1 species